rnacentral:tRNA from 1 species
GGGCGAUUAGCUCAGCUGGUUAGAGCGCGCGCCUCACAUGCGCGAGGCCGGGGGUUCGAGUCCCUCAUCGCCCA